rnacentral:rRNA from 1 species
UACGUAGGGUGCGAGCGUUGUCCGGAAUUAUUGGGCGUAAAGGGCUCGUAGGCGGUCUGUCACGUCGGGAGUGAAAACACGGGGCUUAACCCCGUGCCUGCUUCCGAUACGGGCAGACUAGAGGUAUGCAGGGGAGAACGGAAUUCCUGGUGUAGCGGUGAAAUGCGCAGAUAUCAGGAGGAACACCGGUGGCGAAGGCGGUUCUCUGGGCCUGUACUGACGCUGAGGAGCGAAAGCGUGGGGAGCGAACAGG